GGGGCCGCUGGAGCGCCGGCUGGGCCUGACCGACGCCGUGGUCAUCGGGCUGGGCUCGAUGAUCGGCGCGGGGAUCUUCGCCGCGCUGGCGCCG
rnacentral:tRNA from 1 species